AAUAGAUGCUUCUACUUUGCAGAGCAUAUUCUGACUGGGAGCUAGCUUCUGGAAGAGAACUGAACUGUGUGUGCCCAACACUGCGGAAAGAGAGAUCGGCCUGCCUGCACCCACAACUUCAGGAAAAAGAAUAUUGCUUUUUAGUUGGCAUCCUGACUUGACUGAUGAGAUGUUAACAGUUCCUAAGAAGAGGAAAAUCCAUAUGCCAAAGCUGACUGUGGGCUCAAUUUCCUCCAGAGGAAGAGUGUUGGAUGAAGCAUGGAAACAGGCUUAAAUUAUCCUCCAUCACUGCUGUGAAGAAGGCCAGAUGCUGAUUUUGAUUUACCCUCCCACUAUAAUGUGGUGAAAAGGGGAAGCUGGCCUUGGAUGAAGAGAAGGUGGCCUUGGAUGGGGAAUGGUAUUGAACAGAGUGAAUUCAUUUAUGUUUCUCCAGCUUCCUCCUCAGUGUCCUUGAUGAAAACUGGAUCACUUGUUCAGAAUCUUAGAGACUUCACGUCAGUUUCCUGCCCUUCUGGAGAUGAUUCAACCCCAAAUCUGCUGUUUUUCUCACAGAAGAGAGGCCCAGACAUUAUGAUAUAGGCAACAGGAGACAGAGUGGAGUAAGAGGAGGCAGAGAGCAUCUAUUCUCACUACAAAUGGAGCUGUUCCACUGUGCAAAAACUCCUUAAAAAAUUCAAUAGAUCAAAGGAUGACCAAGAGGAAAUAUAGUCAUACAUAGUGUAUAAUCUAGUACUUUGUGCCUUCCCCUGGCAGAAGGACAUGUGCAUACCAUCCCUGUUCCUGCACCUACCUACAUGCUUUUAUAUGAAAAAAUUAUUGGACAAAAUAAUAAAAAAGAAUCUAGACUUA